GACAGAGGGUGCAAACGUUGUUCGGAAUUAUUGGGCGUAAAGCGCGCGUAGGCGGUUACUUAAGUCGGAUGUGAAAGCCCUCGGCUUAACUGAGGAAGUGCACCCGAAACUGAGUAGCUAGAGUACGAAAGAGGGUCGCGGAAUUCCCGGUGUAGAGGUGAAAUUCGUAGAUAUCGGGAGGAACACCGGUGGCGAAGGCGGCGACCUGGGUCGAGACUGACGCUGAGGCGCGAAAGCUAGGGGAGCGAACAGG
rnacentral:rRNA from 1 species